rnacentral:misc_RNA from 1 species
AUGAUUUUCAAAAUCUUACUCCUGUUUCUAAGUGUCAAUUGCGAAGCCUUACCGGAUAAUUAUAUGAAGGAAAUCAAAUCAGAAGAGAUCACACGAUACGGUGUUUGGUAUGGAUACGUGCACUGUAAUGAAGGAGAAUAUGCAGGAGGGAUGCAGUCCAAGUUUUCGGAAAUUCAUGUCCAUUCGUUUUGGUCGUUUUUCAACUUUUUCGAUAACACUGGGCUCAAUGCUGUGAGGCUUUACUGUCAGAGAAUUGGAGCAAGUAAUUCGACCAACGGAUCCUUAAAUCCAAUAAUGAGUGGAGAAGGUGCUGAUGGAAAAUGGGGAGAAGUUAAAUGGUGUCCAAAUGGUACAGUAAUCACUGGCUUCUCGUUGAAAUCAGUGCCAGAUCGUGGGCCAUUCAAGGAUGAUCUGGGAGCCACCUCAUUCCGUGUGUAUUGUGGAAACCCGUUUGAAGGUCGGAGCACAAAAUUGCUCUUGGAAAGUGACAAAAAUGAGUGGGGUACUUGGACUGGCGAUCAAUUUUGUGAUAAGGGUUUCGCGGUGUGUGGAAUCAAGAGUCAAGUUGAAGCUCGGGCAAAAGAUACGACGGCUCUGAAUAAUGUAAACCUGCACUGCUGCCCAGUAUCCGAAGAUGUUAAACUAACAAGUUGUACUCCGAACCUUGUGGCGAUUAGGAUUGAUACUCUGGAUAAUAGACGCGGUGACACCAAACUAGUCAGAGAGCAUCUUGUCACUAAAUCCUAUACACGUACCAACCAGGACACGAAGACGUUGAGUAAAGAGGAGAAGACUUCGUUUUAUAGAAACUAAGCUAUUGUUCGACGCAGCUCCCGGAACAGUGUCAGAUGUCUACCAACUAGUUAUCCAGUGCGGAGGUGUUCAGCUCGAACUACAAAAAGUUUUCCAAAUUAGCUCGAAAAAGCCCGGUUCCUCUUCAUCGCUACUAGGCCUGUCGAUGGGUGCCACAAUCCUUAUACUUCUCGCUGCAGCUGUGCUUCUAAUAUUUCUGAUUAUUUUAUCAGUUUUCCUGGUUAGUAGGAUUCGGGUGAAACGCGAUCGAUCAAAAAUGAGCAGGACUGGUGAAGGAGCAAAACGAGUUUCAAAGACCAAGACGGGGACGCCAAUAAAGGAAAUUGGAAGUGUGAAGAAGAUUCGAUGUUUGAAACAUAAAUGA